ACUUCUUUAUUCGUAAAACUCUGGCUUUCGGGACGAUAAUGACGGCACCUGAGGAGGAAGCCACGGCUAACUACGUGCCAACAGCCGCGGAAAUACCAAGGUGUUAAGCGUUGUCCGGAUUUACUGGGCGUAAAGGGAGCGUAGGAGGAUAUUUAACUGGGAUGGGAAAUACUCGUGCUUAACCUGAGUGCUGCAUUCCUACUGGAUAUCUACAGUGCAGGAGAGGAAAGAAGAAUUCCUAUUGCAACGCGGAAAUGGGUAUAGAUUACGAAGAAUACCUGCGGCGAAGGCGACCCCCUGGACUGUAUCUGACACUGAGGCUCCCCAGCGGGGGAAGCAAACAGGAUUAAAUACCC
rnacentral:rRNA from 1 species